AACAAUAUUUCCAUUUGGAUCAAUAAAGAAAUCGGAAACAUCCAAAUGAAUCACAUCAAUUGGACCAUUAUAAUCAGCAAAAUUAGUCUCCAAUUUUUCUUUUCCCUUGAUUGAUCUCUGGUAGAGAUCCACAAGAUGUUUUGAGGUACGACACGUACGUGCCCAAUGCCCUUUCAUUCCACAUCUGAAGCAACUUUCUUUAUGCUCCUUUUUAGAUUUGCCACCCUCGUUUGCUUUUUGAAUUUAUUGCCUUGUUGUUGAUAACUUUGUUGAUUAUUUCUUCCAUGAUUUAUUCCACAUACACGUCCGUGUCCACGUUCACGUCUGUGUCCACGUCUUUAUCUUGAUAUUGUAUUUGCUUCAGACAAUGGUACGGAACCAGUUGGACGUAAUCCAUGAUUUUUCAUCAACAAUUCAUUAUUUUGUUCAGCAACUAGUAGGCGAGAUAUAAGUUCUGAGUACUUUUUUAAGCCACGCUCACGAUAUUACUGCUGCAGGAGCACAUUCGAGGCAUGAAAGGUGGAGAAAGUUUUUUUCCAACAUAUCUUCGUCAGUGAUUUUUUCUCCACACAAAGUUAACUUUGAACAUAUUCAUAUUCUGAACAAUUCAGAAUUGUACUCACUAACGGUUUUAAAGUCUUGCAAACGAAGGUGCAUCCACUCAUAACAGGAUUUGGGGAGGACUAUAAUCCUCUGAUGAUCAAAUCUUUCAGUUAACUUUUUCCAAAGAACUUGUGGAUCUUUCUUAGUGAGAUAUUCAAUUUUUAAUCCAUCGUGAAGAUGGCGACGGAAGAAAAUGAGUGCUUUUGCACGAUCCUACAGGGAUUCAUUGUUUCCUUCUUUUAUUCUCUCCAAGACCCUUUGAGACGAGAUGAAUAUCAGCAUUCAGUAUCCAUGACAGAUAAUUUUUACCAGAUAUGUCAAGUGCGGCAAACUCAAGUUUCGUAAUGUUUGCCAUUUGUUUAACUACACAAUAAAAAAAUAAAAUUAGUUUCGAAGAAUAUGAUUAAUCAUCACAUGGUAAUCAAAUAGUCCAUAUCAACAUAACUUCAAAUUACG
rnacentral:lncRNA from 1 species